GCCCUGAUAGCUUGGGAGAGAUUGUGUACUCCUAAAUGUGUUAGAGGCAUGAAUUUGAUCAACAUGAACUUGUGGAAAGGCAGCACUUGCUAAAAGGUUCUGGGACCUAGAACACAAGCAAAAUAAAUUAUGGAUAAAAUGGGUGCAUACUAACUAUAUCAAAGGCCAACCAACCCAAGAUCUUGGUUUGCCCCAACAAGCAAGUUGGAUGAUUAGAAAGAUUGUUGCAGCUCAAGCAAUCUGUAGAACAAUUCAUCAACCACUUAAGGCAGGCAAGAGUAUUAUUCAACAAGUAUACCUAGAACUACUGGAAGUUACAAACAGAGUACCAUGGAAUGUUAUGAUGUUCAAGAAUGAGGCCAGGCCCAAAGCUGUUUUCUCCCAGUAGCUGUAUCUACAGGAUAGGUUCCUCACGAAGGAAAGACUCUUGAAAUGGGGCGUGAAUGUUGAAACUAACUAUGUUUUUGUAAUACUAGCCUGGAAACAAGAGUCCACUUAUUUGUCCAGUGCCCUUUUGCCUGUUCUCUGUGGACUAAGAUCUGCACCUGGCUCAAGAUGAAACCACUAAUAAUGAGUGAUUGGGUGAACCACAUUGCAGGAGUCAUUGUGGGAGCCAAAGGUAAGACACUGAAGGCUCAACUAUUUCAAAUGGUGUACACUGACGCAAUUCAUACUUUACGGAUGGAAAGGAACCAGAGGCUGUAUGAGAAGAAAAGUAGAACUAUGGAAGGGAUUGCAAAAGAAAUAGCUUUUACUUGCAAUGUCAGAGCUCAGGCAAUGAUCAGCACACUACUGCAGUCUCAUAGUUUUUGGCGGGCUUCUUUGCUCUCCCAAUUAGAGCUUAAUGAUCCUCAUGUUGGGACCUGAAGUGACACAGUUAGUAAUGGCUAAGUCCUUAUGCCCCUCCCUAGUGUAGUUUAGUUUUGAGGCUCCCUUUGAUAACAGACUGUGUUAGAGUCCUGUUGUGGUUUGUAAUGCAACAUUUGGUGAUUAAUAAAGGUAAACUAAUCACCCAAGAAAAGAAAAAACUGAAAACUAGUAAAAUUUCGAGAAGAAAAACAAACAACAUAUAAAACUUCUCUAUAUGGUAUAAGAAAACUGAAAAUAUAGAAAUUUCAUGUUCCGCUCAUUCCACGAGCAACUUUUUCCAAUAAAGUUUUCUGGUGAAGGAUAAAGAUAUAUGUCAAAGAUGAAAUCCUGACCUUUAAAUUCUGAGGUGUAAGUAUAGCCACACAACCUGAGCAUAACUCCAAGAAAACAACCUGAGCAUAACGCCAUAAGCCGAUCGGAAUCCAUUUCCGCCGGCGUAAAGUGGCGGUGUACGGCGGAGGUUUAUGACGGUUGAGAAGGGAAGGCGGGAGUUCGCCGAUGAGUGAGUUAGAAUCAGUUUGACUCGGACGAGUUGAGAAUGGUGAGUGUUGGGUUUAAAUGAAUUUUAACUGUUGGUUGAGAUUUGUUGUGGCUUAGUUGGACGGGUGGGAUUUCGUUCGACACGUGGCGAUUGAAGGUGAUUGGAUAGUGUGAUAUACUUUGCCAGAGUGUCAAGUUUUCUUGGAUACAGUGAAAAGAGAAAAGUGGUUAACACUUUGUUUGGAUAAUGCUUUGCCAUGCUUCAUAAUGUAUGGUACUGGACAACAACUGUUUUAUUGUUGGUUUGAUAAUAUGGUAUUGUAACUGGUAAGUUUAUUAAAAUGUUUAAUUAUUAUAAAUAUUAAAUUUAUC
rnacentral:lncRNA from 1 species